AACAAACAGAUUUUAUUGGAGCACUGAUAGAGUAGGCAGUUAGGUAGACAGAAGCUGGAGGCAAGGAUGGUGAUAAAUGGUUACACAUUAGAAGCCUGAAGGGGGCACAGCAUCUUGAAGUUGUGGCUUCCAGGACCCCUUGGCUAAUAGACCAAGAGCUCCAGAUGCAGGACGGGCCACUCUCCUCUCCCACCUCUGCUCCAGGGUAACCCCCAGACUCAUUAUAAUGCAUUCACGUUGUGUUUUAGCCCUACCCCCAAUCCCAAGAGGGAAGGUUGCCCUGACGGUUCUGGGACAAACUUUGUAAAGUCAGAAACUAACCUCUCCCAACCUGUGGAAGGAGUCCCUCAAAGGAUUGGAAGCCUCCAUUAGAGACCACCCCAUACACACACACACACACACACACACACAUAAAAAGAAAAGACUCCUGUAACCUCGGGGCAGUUGCCACCGCUGAGCCGGCCCACUCUCCCACCUUGAGGGUUUACUUCCUUAACAAACUGCUUUGUGCUUCCUACUUUCUUCUGUCUUCGUUUUUUAAUUUUUUUUAAGUUUUUAUUUUUUUAAAAUUAAAAAAAAUUUUUUUUUAAAAUUUAAAUUCAAGUUAGUUAAUAUAUAGUGUAUUAUUCAUUUCAGGGUGGAGUUUAGUGAUUCAUCAGUUGCAUACAACACCGAGCACUCAUUACAUCACGGGCCCAUCACCCAGUUACCCACCUCCUUCCCAACUGUCUUUAUUAGAGUAUGGAUCCUCAUGGAAAUUGUUCAUAGGAAACCCAACAACUGAGACCUCCAUUCAUACAACACAGACUCUCCCACCCUGAACAUCAUGUAUUCCAUUUUCAGUUCCAUUACAUGUUCCAUUAUAUUUAAUGUCAUCACUAAAGCAUGAGAUUCAAAAUUACCCUUUUACUUGGCACUUUCUGUUUCACCCUGUUUUAUAUUUCGUUUUUUUUCUCAUUUCUUGCCUUUUUGUUAGAUAACUAGGUAUUUUUAAUGAAUUACUCCAUUUUUUCCCAUUAUUCAUUGGAAGAUAAACUCUGGUCUUGUUCUUUUAGUACAAGGAUUGACAAAUUAUGGCCUGUCGGUCAAACCUAACCUGAUGCCUGUUUUUUGGUAAAUAACAAUGUAUUCCAGCACAGCCACACUCAUUUUGCACAUUGUCUAUGUCUACUUUGAUGCUAUGACAGUAUGUAGGUAGAGCAAACACCAAAGGGGGUCUACAAUGACUAAAAUAUUUACUAUCUAGCCCUUUACAGAUAAUUUGCAACCCCAUUUUUAGUGGAUAUCCUUUAAAAUGCAAUGUAUAUAUAUAUAUUUUUUUAACAUACCAAAUUCUUAAAACCUCCUCUUUAUGGAUGAUAAAUCAAGUCCCUCAAAAUCUUUUUUUUUUUUUAAGAUUUAUUUAUAAUUCAUGAGAGACCCAGAGAGAGAGGCAGAGACACAGAGGGAGAAGCAGGCUCCCAACAGGGAGCCUGAUGCAGGACUCGAUCCCAGAACCCAAGGAUCAUGACCUAGCCCAAGGCAGAUGCUCAACCACUGAGUCACCCAGGUGUCCCCCUCGGAAUAUUUUAAUUAUAUUUUCCCCUUCCCGCAUAGACAUUAUUGUACUCAGGAAUUUUAUUUUCUUAAUAAACUCUGUUUUGGAAUCAUUUUAGAUUCACAGAAAAGUUGCAAAGAUAGCGGUUAGUCCAUGUAUGCCCUUCACUCAGCUUCACCUAACGUUACUGUAGAACGUUGGUACAUUUGUUAAAUCUAUGUGAUAACAUUGGUACAUUUACUUUUAACUAAAUGCCAAACUUCAUUCAAAUUUCACCAAUUUUCCCACUUACAUCCUUUUUUUUGUCUAGGAUCCAAUCGAGGGUCCAUGUUGGAUUUAGUUGUCAUGCCUCCUUAAUCUCCUCCGGUCUAUGACAGUUUCUCAGUCCUUCCUUGUUUUCUCUGACCGUGACAGUUUUGAGGAGUACUGGCAGGUUCUUAAAUUUAGGUUUCUGUUUUCUGUAUGCUUAGACUGAGGUUCUGUGUUUUGGGGGAAAAAAACCACAGAGGCGACAUGCCCCUCUCAUUACAUCACAUCAGGCAGUACAUGAGAUCAGCUGGGUGUUGCUAAUCUUCAUGACCUGGCUAAGGUUGUGCUGGCCAAGUUUCUCCUGCGUGGAGCUCUCUUUUUUCUCUUUCUAUUCUCAGUGCUUUGGCAGCAAGCCCCUAAGUGGAGCCUACAUUGUGGCUGGAAGGAGUGAGAGGUGGAGUGGGGUAUAUCUACACAAUGUUGUUGUUUUUUUCGAAGAUUUUCUUUAUUUAUUCAUGAGAGACAGAGAGAGAGAGGUGCAGAGAGAGAGGUGCAGAGAGAGAGGGGCAGAGAGAGAGGGGCAGAGGGAGAAGCAGGCUCCAUGCAAGAAGCCCUAUGUGGGACUCGAUCCUGGGUCUCUAGGACCACCCCCGGAGCUGAAGGCGGUGCUAAACCGCUGAGCCACCUGGGCUGCCCUAUCUACACAAUGUUAUUUGGAAUUCUUGUAUAGAGAAAAUUUGUCUCCUCUUAUUUGUUCAAUUCUUUUUUAUAGCAGUACAAACUCAUGCAUACUUAUUUCGUACUUUGUGUUUUAGUCCAAUACAACAUUAUUUCUUUUGCUCAAAUUGUUCCAACUUUGGCCAUUGGGAGCUAUCUCGGGUUGGCUCAUUUUUCCUUUCAAUAUGACCCAAUCCUUUUGUUUUUAUGGAUGCUUCUUUACUUUCUGGCCCUACAAGAUGCUCCUGGCUCCCCUGCCUGUCUCUUUCU
rnacentral:lncRNA from 1 species